rnacentral:rRNA from 1 species
UACAGAGGGGGCAAGCGUUGUUCGGAAUUACUGGGCGUAAAGGGCGCGUAGGCGGCCUUCUAAGUCGAACGUGAAAUCCCCGGGCUCAACCCGGGAACUGCGUCCGAUACUGGAAGGCUUGAAUCCGGGAGAGGGAUGUGGAAUUCCAGGUGUAGCGGUGAAAUGCGCAGAUAUCAGGAAGAACACCCGUGGCGAAGGCGGUUCUCUGGGACGGUACUGACGCUGAGACGCGAAAGCGUGGGGAGCGAACGGG